rnacentral:rRNA from 1 species
GACGAACCGAGCGAACGUUGUUCGGAAUCACUGGGCUUAAAGGGCGCGUAGGCGGGCUGCCGCGUCCGGGGUGAAAUCCCACGGCUCAACCGUGGAACGGCCCCGGGUACGGGCGGCCUCGAGGAAGGUAGGGGCGUGCGGAACUGUGGGUGGAGCGGUGAAAUGCGUUGAUAUUGUGAGGAACGCCGGAGGCGAAAGCGGCGCACUGGAUCUCUUCUGACGCUGAGGCGCGAAAGCGUGGGGAGCGAACAGG